rnacentral:rRNA from 1 species
CAGAUGACGACCGGCGCACGGGUGCGUAACGCGUAUAGAACCUACCUUUUACUGGAGAAUAGCCUUUAGAAAUGAAGAUUAAUGCUCCAUGGUAUUGAGUAAUCGCAUGAUUAUUUAAUUAAAGAUUUAUUGGUAAAAGAUGGCUAUGCGUCCUAUUAGUUAGAUGGUAAGGUAACGGCUUACCAUGACUUUGAUAGGUAGGGGUCCUGAGAGGGAGAUCCCCCACACUGGUACUGAGACACGGACCAGACUCCUACGGGAGGCAGCAGUGAGGAAUAUUGGGCAAUGGAGGCAACUCUGACCCAGCCAUGCCGCGUGAAGGAUGACUGCCCUAUGGGUUGUAAACUUCUUUUAUACAGGAAGAAACACUGGUAUGUAUACCAGCUUGACGGUACUGUAAGAAUAAGGACCGGCUAACUCCGUGCCAGCAGCCGCGGUAAUACGGAGGGUCCGAGCGUUAUCCGGAAUCAUUGGGUUUAAAGGGUCCGCAGGCGGUCAAUUAAGUCAGAGGUGAAAUCCCAUAGCUCAACUAUGGAACUGCCUUUGAUACUGGUUGACUUGAGUCAUAUGGAAGUAGAUAGAAUGUGUAGUGUAGCGGU